GAUGAACGCUGGCGGCGUGCCUAAUACAUGCAAGUCGAGCGAACGGACGAGAAGCUUGCUACUCUGAUGUUAGCGGCGGACGGGUGAGUCACACGUGGAUAACCUACCUAUAAGACUGGGAUAACUUCGGGAAACCGUAGCUAAUACCGGAUAAUAUUUUGAACCGCAUGGUUCCAAAGUGAAAGACGGUCUUGCUGUCACUUCUAGAUGGAUCCGCGCUGCAUUAGCUAGUUGGUAAGGUAACGGCUUACCAAGGCAACGAUGCAUAGCCGACCUGAGAGGGUGAUCGGCCACACUGGAACUGAGACACGAUCAAGACGCCUACGGGAGGCAGCAGUAGGGAAUCUUCCGCAAUGGGCGAAAGCCUGACGGAGCAACGCCGCGUGAGUGAUGAAGGUCUUCGGAUCGUAAAACUCUGUUAUUAGGGAAGAACAUAUGUGGAAGUAACUGUGCACAUCUUGACGGUACCUAAACAGAAAGCCACGGCUAACUACGUG
rnacentral:rRNA from 1 species